UACGUAGGGUGCGAGCGUUAAUCGGAUUUACUGGGCGUAAAGGGCGCGUAGGCGGCUUAACAAGUCACUUGUGAAAUCUCCGGGCUUAACUCGGAACGGCCAAGUGAAACUGUCAAGCUAGAGUGCAGAAGGGGCAAUCGGAAUUCUUGGUGUAGCGGUGAAAUGCGUAGAUAUCAAGAGGAACACCUGAGGUGAAGACGGGUUGCUGGGCUGACACUGACGCUGAGGCGCGAAAGCCAGGGGAGCAAACGGG
rnacentral:rRNA from 1 species